CCUACGGGUGGCUGCAGUGGGGAAUAUUGCGCAAUGGGCGAAAGCCUGACGCAGCGACGCCGCGUGAGGGAUGAAGGUCUUCGGAUCGUAAACCUCUGUCAGCAGGGAAGAACGGUCACUGUGCUAAUCAGCAGUGAAUUGACGGUACCUGCAAAGGAAGCACCGGCUAACUCCGUGCCAGCAGCCGCGGUAAUACGGAGGGUGCGAGCGUUAAUCGGAAUUAUUGGGCGUAAAGCGCUCGUAGGCGGUAUGUCAAGUCAAGGGUGAAAUCCCCGCGCUCAACGUGGGAACUGCCUUUGAAACUGGCAAACUGGAGUGUGUGGGAGGAUAGUGGAAUUCCAGGUGUAGGAGUGAAAUGCGUAGAUAUCUGGAAGAACAUCAGUGGCGAAGGCGACUAUCUGGCACAUAACUGACGCUGAGGAGCGAAAGCGUGGGUAGCAAACAGGAUUAGAUACCCGGGUAGUC
rnacentral:rRNA from 1 species